UACGUAGGGGGCAAGCGUUAUCCGGAUUUACUGGGUGUAAAGGGAGCGUAGGCGGUUCAGCAAGUCAGAAGUGAAAGCCCGGGGCUCAACUCCGGGACUGCUUUUGAAACUGUUGAACUAGAUUGCAGGAGAGGUAAGUGGAAUUCCUAGUGUAGCGGUGAAAUGCGUAGAUAUUAGGAGGAACACCAGUGGCGAAGGCGGCUUACUGGACUGUAAAUGACGCUGAGGCUCGAAAGCGUGGGGAGCGAACAGG
rnacentral:rRNA from 1 species